rnacentral:rRNA from 1 species
GAACAGAGGGCAGCGAAGUCGUGAGACGGAGCCAAUCCCAGAAAACCGAUCGUAGUCCGGAUUGCAGUCUGCAACUCGACUGCAUGAAGUCGGAAUCGCUAGUAAUCGCGGAUCAGCAUGCCGCGGUGAAUACGUUCCCGGGUCUUGUACACACCGCCCGUCAAACAAUGGGAGUGGUGUUUACCAGAAGUCGUUAGCCUAACCGCAAGGAGGGCGGCGACCACGGUGAGCACCGUGACUAAUGUUAAGUCGUAACAAGGUAGCCGUACCGGAAGGUGCGGCUGGAUCACCUCCUUUCAAG